GGAUGUCUAUCCUUCAUAAAUGUAGCUUUAUUUUUUUUUUAUUCCGGUAACUUCCGGUUGGGAAAUGUGACCGUAACAUAAGACAUUCAUGAUCAUUCUUAGGUAGCCUUAUUAGCAAGUUCACAGGUACCAGUUUUGUUGAUGCCAAAAUGCC